rnacentral:tRNA from 1 species
GAGGGUAUAGCUCAAAUAAUAGAGCAUGUGCUUAGCAUACACAGGGUCCUGGGUUCAAUCCCUAGUACCCUCU